rnacentral:lncRNA from 1 species
AAUAGUAUCACAGCUAUUCAACAUAUCAAUGCAGUAACUGAUCGUUCCUAGCGCAAGUGGCAAAGGGCUUGAUGGUUGGUACCCGAGGUCCUAAGUUCGAAUCCUAAUUGGUUCAUAUUUCCAGCUAACUUUAUUUCUAAAUAAAAUAAACGAAACGGAUAGCAUGCUACCUAUCUCUUAAAAAAUAAAAUUAAAAAAUAAAAAAAAUCAAUUAAUGCAGUAGAAAAUGAAAGGUUUACACAUUAUAUAAUGUGCAAAUUUAAUCCAAUUAAUAUUGGAGGGAAUUAGACCCACAACCUCAUAAAAUGAAGGAUUUAGAAUUGACUUUUGUAUUAUAUUAUAUAAAAACUCAACUUAGUAGGAAACACAACUGGAAAUAUGUAUUAACAACAGCUUAUAACUAAUAAAAUCUGUAAAAAUAAACAACGCAAUCAAAUUUUGAAAUUAAAAUACCGCUAACUAAUUCAAAUCAAAUAAAUUAAAAAUUUUGAUAGAAAAAUUAAAAUUUUAAAAAAUUGAACAAUCAAAUCAAAAUGGUCCAUAAUUCAGAUAUGUUCUACUCAUUAUUUCCUUAUAAUAUUUUACAAAUGCAUGU